AAUGAUAAUAUUUUGUUAAAAGUUGUCACUAUCUGAAAAGCUUAAGUAAUCAUGAGUGAUAAUGUUGACAUGAUGUGAAGUUGAGGAAUAAAUUGGCACCUAAUUUAGCACAAAAAUGCAGACAAAUACCACUACCUUUUUGUGAGUCUGCACCAUAAGGAAUAAAGAAUUUUGGUUAAGGUUGAGUAAGCUCUAGAAUUGCUAUUGGACAAUGAUUUAUAAAAGCCAUUUGGCAUGUUUCAUGAGGCUAUUGAUUGACUUUUCAUGAGCAAAGAUGGUUGACCUUGGUAAAAGUUACAAGUAGAAGAACUUGUUAGUUACCCUAAAAUUUCCUAGCAAUUCUAAAUCUGUUUGGUUAUUAUAAAUUGAUUGAACAGAACAUGUUACCACGAUCGAAUUAAGGAUGUGUUUGGUCAUUGUUGCAGAAGUUGGGGGCUCCAACACACCUUCAGGGAGCAGAAUAGUCUUGUUGACAGGCUGGCGCAAGAAGGAUCGAAACAAGAAGUUUUUGGCACUCCCUCUAUCCUCAUAGCUUCUUCAACGUAUGCUCAUGAGGAAUCUGAAGCAGAUAACCUAGGAACUACAUAUGCUAGGCAGGUCCCUUCUGUUAAUUAGCCCAUAACUCUACUAUUGUGUAUCCGCUGACAAGAGGAUCCUUAAAACCCAAAAAAAAAAAAAAAAAA